rnacentral:rRNA from 1 species
GAAUAUUGCGCAAUGGGCGAAAGCCUGACGCAGCCACGCCGCGUGCAGGAAGACACCCCUCUGGGGCGUAAACUGCUUUUGUGUGAGAAGAAGGCCCUCCUCGGGAGGGAUUGACGGUAUCGCACGAAUAAGGACCGGCUAACUCCGUGCCAGCAGCCGCGGUAAUACGGAGGGUCCAAGCGUUGUCCGGAAUCACUGGGUGUAAAGGGUGCGUAGGCGGACUCGUAAGUCAGGGGUGAAAGCCCGCGGCUCAACCGCGGAACUGCCCUUGAUACUGCGAGCCUUGAGUCCUGGAGGGGCUGGCGGAAUUCGUGGUGUAGCGGUGAAAUGCGUAGAUAUCACGAGGAACACCGGAGGUGUAGACGGCCAGCUGGACAGGUACUGACGCUGAGGCACGAAAGCGUGGGGAGCGAACAG